UACGAAGGGGCUAGCGUUGCUCGGAAUCACUGGGCGUAAAGGGUGCGUAGGCGGGUCUUUAAGUCAGGGGUGAAAUCCUGGAGCUCAACUCCAGAACUGCCUUUGAUACUGAGGAUCGUUGAGUUCGGGAGAGGUGAGUGGAACUGCGAGUGUAGAGGUGAAAUUCGUAGAGUAUUCGCAAGAACACCAGUGGCGAAGGCGGCUCACUGG
rnacentral:rRNA from 1 species